rnacentral:rRNA from 1 species
UACGUAGGAGACUAGCGUUGUCCGGAAUUACUGGGCGUAAAGCGCGCGUAGGUGGCUUCGUAAGUCCGUUGUGAAAGUCAAAGGCUCAACCUUUGAAUGCCGAUGGAUACUGCGAAGCUAGAGUACGGAAGAGGCGAGUGGAAUUCCUGGUGUAGCGGUGGAAUGCGCAGAUAUCAGGAGGAACACCAAUAGCGAAGGCAGCUCGCUGGGACGUUACUGACACUAAGGCGCGAAAGCGUGGGGAGCGAACAGG